UGAAUACGAGAUGCUACGGCGUCGAAGCAGUCUAUGUCAUACUUCCAAGAAAAGCUUGCACUGUCAUAAACAAAUAAUGCCUGUACCAUAACCGACACAGGUGGGUAGGUAGAGUAUACUAAGGGGCGCGAGAUAACUCUCUCUAAGGAACUCGGCAAAAUGACUCCGUAACUUCGGGAGAAGGAGUGCCUUAUUUAUAAGGUUGCAAUAACAAGACCCAAGCAACUGUUUAUCAAAAACACAGGUCUCCGCUAAGUCGUAAGACGAUGUAUGGGGGCUGACGCCUGCCCAGUGCCAGAAGGUUAAAGAAGUUGGUUAGCAUUAGCGAAGCUGAUGACUGAAGCCCUGGUGAACGGCGGCCGUAACAAUAACGGUCCUAAGGUAGCGAAAUUCCUUGUCGGGUAAGUUCCGACCCGCACGAAAGGCGUAAUGAUUUGGGUACUGUCUCAGAGAGGGACUCGGUGAAAUAGACUUGUCUGUGAAGAUGCGGACUACCUGCACCUGGACAGAAAGACCCUAUGAAGCUUUACUGUAACCUGAAAUUGAAAUUGGACUUUAUUUGCGCAGUAUAGGUGGGAGGCUUUGAAGAUAUUCUUGCGGGAAUGUUGGAGCCAUCAGUGAGAUACCACUCUUGUAAUGUUAGAUUUCUAACUUUGUAUCAUUAUCUGGUCAAAGAACAGUUUCAGGCGGGCAGUUUGACUGGGGCGGUCGCCUCCUAAACGGUAACGGAGGCGCACAAAGGUUUCCUCUGAACGGGUAGAAAUCGUAUCUAGAGUGUAAAGGCAUAAGGAAGCUUGACUGUGAGACCUACAAGUCGAGCAGGGACGAAAGUCGGUCUUAGUGAUCUGACGGUGCUGAGUGGAAAGGCCGUCACUCAACGGAUAAAAGUUACUCUAGGAUAACAGGCUGAUCUCCCCCAAGAGUUCACAUCGACGGGGAGGUUUGGCACCUCGAUGUCGGCUCAUCGCAUCCUGGGGCGGUAGUACGUCCCAAGGGUUGGGCUGUUCGCCCAUGAAAGCGGUACGCGAGCUGGGUUCAGAACGUCGUGAGACAGUUCGGUCCAUAUCCGGUGUAGGCGUUAGAAUAUUGAGAGGAGCCUUCUCUAGUACGAGAGGACCGAGAAGGACACACCUCUGGUGUACCAGUUAUCGUGCCAACGGUAAACGCUGGGUAGCUAUGUGUGGAGCGGAUAACCGCUGAAAGCAUCUAAGUGGGAAGCCCACCUCAAGAUAAGUAUUCUCACC
rnacentral:rRNA from 1 species